rnacentral:rRNA from 1 species
GAUCAUGGCUCAGGAUGAACGCUAGCGACAGGCUUAACACAUGCAAGUCGAGGGGCAGCGGGGAGUAGCAAUACUCUGCCGGCGACCGGCGCACGGGUGAGUAACGCGUAUGCAACUUACCUAUCAGAGGAGAAUAGCUCAUCGAAAGAUGAAUUAAUGCUCCAUAAAACAGGGGUCCCGCAUGGGAAUAUUUGUUAAAGAUUCAUCGCUGAUAGAUAGGCA